rnacentral:rRNA from 1 species
CCUUAGACAUUGGGAUAGCCUCGGGAAACCGGGAUUAAUACCAAAUGAAAUCACAUAUGCACAUGCAUAAAUGAUCAAAGCUCCGGCGGUCUAAGAUGGACUCGCGUCCCAUUAGCUAGUUGGUGAGGUAACGGCCCACCAAGGCGACGAUGGGUAGCCGGCCUGAGAGGGUGAACGGCCACAUUGGAACUGAGAAACGGUCCAAACUCCUACGGGAGGCAGCAGUGGGGAAUAUUGCACAAUGGAGGGAACUCUGAUGCAGCGACGCCGCGUGAACGAAGAAGGCUUUCGAGUCGUAAAGUUCUUUUAUAUGGGAAGAUAAUGACGGUACCAUAAGAAAAAGCCCCGGCUAACUACGUGCCAGCAGCCGCGGUAAUACGUAGGGGGCUAGCGUUGUCCGGAAUCACUGGGCGUAAAGGGUUCGCAGGCGGAAAUGCAAGUCAGGUGUAAAAGGCAGUAGCUUAACUACUGUAAGCAUUUGAAACUGCAUAUCUUGAGAAGAGUAGAGGUAAGUGGAAUUUUUAGUGUAGCGGUGAAAUGCGUAGAUAUUAAAAAGAAUACCGGUGGCGAAGGCGACUUACUGGGCUCAUUCUGACGCUGAGGAACGAAAGCGUGGGUAGCAAACAGGAUUAGAUACCCUGGUAGUCCACGCUGUAAACGAUGAGUGCUAGGUAUCGGAAUAAUUCGGUGCCGCAGUUAACACAUUAAGCACUCCGCCUGGGGAGUACGUGCGCAAGCAUGAAACUCAAAGGAAUUGACGGGGACCCGCACAAGCAGCGGAGCAUGUGGUUUAAUUCGAAGCAACGCGAAGAACCUUACCAGGGCUUGACAUACUGAGGACCGGUAUAGAGAUAUACCCUCUUCUUCGGAAGCCUCAAUACAGGUGGUGCAUGGUUGUCGUCAGCUCGUGUCGUGAGAUGUUCAGUUAAGUCUGGCAACGAGCGCAACCCCUAUCUUUAGUUACCAGCAUUUCGGAUGGGGACUCUAAAGAGACUGCCGAUGAUAAAUCGGAGGAAGGUGGGGAUGACGUCAAAUCAUCAUGCCCUAUAUGCCCUGGGCUACACACGUGCUACAAUGGAAGAUACAAAGGGAAGCGAAAUAGUGAUAUUAAGCAAACCUCAAAAAGUCUUUCCCAGUUCGGAUUGUACUCUGCAACUCGAGUACAUGAAGAUGGAGUUGCUAGUAAUCGCAGAUCA